AUACUUACCUGGCAGGGGAGAUACCAUGAUUAUUAAAGUGGUUUUCCUAGGGUGAGGCAAAUCCAUUGCACUUCAGAUGUGCUGAUUCCUGUGAUUUCCCCAAAUGUGGGAAAAUCAACUGCAUAAUUUGUGGUAGUGGGGGACUGUGUUUGUGCUUUCCCCUG
rnacentral:snRNA from 1 species